rnacentral:lncRNA from 1 species
GCUCCUUGAAUGCAACUUGCUUAUUUAGGCCUGUCGCCCUGUUUUGGAGGUAAUCUCUGCUACUGUUAGUGAAUGCAGUGAGCUGCUGAAAUUGGUGGCCUUUGCCAAAGAGCAAAAUACCAACUGAUGUAAUUGGAAUGUGAGAUCUGCAACGCUUGAAAAUUCUGCCAGAAAGUUGUUAAAUGGAGAUGACAUCUCGUUAAAGGGAAGAAUGGGGUCUCUGUGCAUGUUUUCUGUCCUUAGUCCAGGCACUGGAUCUCCAGCAAGUUUCUUCUGCAAAAGAUAAGCAUCUGAAAAAGGAGAUGUAGAAGAGAUUGAUGUAUGGGUGAAGUGUGUAGGAGCAAGCCUACUUUACUCCAGGAUGUGACAUCCCAGUGCAGCAAAUGAAGACAUGGCUGAAAGGCUAAUUUAAAAUCUUCUUCUCCCAUGAGGACUUUCUCCAAAGAAGCCGUCUCCUUGCUGCACCAAACAGAAGCUUGUUGAGUACUCUCAGGAGUCUUCCUUUCCUGUAGGGGCCGAUCCCAUUCCUGCUAACCAACAAGAGACCUGCUAAGCAACAGGACAUGUGGGAUGGGACAGGAGGGGGGAUUGGAGCUCCAGAGGAAGCUCUGGCUGCAGUGUGAGGACGAAACAGAGGCCAGCAGCUCUCCAGAGUCAAUUGGGUGCUACAGAGUUCAAAGAGCAGAGCCAAUGUUUGCAGAUGCAAAGCAGACCUGAUGCUGAUCCCAACCCUUCUAGAUCCUGGUCUGAUAUGAAAAAGAAAAUGAUUUUGUAGUCUUUCAAUUAAACACCUUAUCAAUGAUCUCAAAGCAUCUGCAGCGACUGAGUGCUAAGGAGGAGAAAUUCACUCUGCAUGAGAGAGAGAUCUGUGUCCAAAGAGUGCCAGAGCCUACAUGUAGCACAG